AGCUCCAAACAUCACGUGACGCCGCCGCGCGGUCACGUGGCGGGGGCGCGCCCCCCGUUGCCCUGGAGACGGCGACGCCGAUGACGUCACCCCUGUCGCCAAGGCGGGGGUUCCUCGGCGUGCGGCGCUCGGAGCGGUGGCACCGCGGCACGGGGCGCGGCCCGAGCCUCCGCUCGGCCCGGGAGCCGCCUCGGGAGCGCUGCGGCCGGCUCCGGGCUCCUCAGCACGGGAGGGACAGCGACAUCCCGCAGCGGGAUGGGUGGCCGAGGUGAGGGGACUGGAGCAUCUCCCCGCCAGGGAAUUGGGGCUCAGAAGGGACCUCAGCCCUGCCUGGCAGCGCCCGCAGGGAGGGCUCCGAGCAGGGCCCGCGCUCUGCUCCGGGGUCCCAGCAGUGGCACAAGGGGGAUGGGCAGGGACUGAGCCCAGAAAGUUCCACCUGGACGGGAGGAAGAGCUUCAUCAUUCAGCGUCCAAGCCCUGAGCAGGCUGCCCAGAGAGCGUGUGGAGUCGCCGAAGCACCAUUCCCAAACCACCUGGGCACAGCCCUGUGCCUUGGGACGGGCCUGCUGGAGCAGUGGGGCCAGGUGACCCACGGAGGUGUCUUUGCCCUGGCCCUCUCUGUGAUCCUGUGGUGCCACGCCGAGAGCAUGCCAAGAUCCCUGCAGUGCCAGGGUCCAGCUCUGGGCACAGGAGUUGCCUCGGGGUGGCAUUCCCUUGCCCGCCAGGGUCCUGCUGGAGCUGGAUCUAGUUCAGAGGAGAUGGUGACACAGAUUCUGCAGUCUGGGAGGCUCAAGGACAAAAUUACCUAAAACCUGCCAAGCCACAGCCAUUGCACGUUCAGGAUGUAAAAUGUCAGCAGCACUGCCUGCCUUGGCUCCUGCAGCAGCUACAGCCCUUUGCUGGCAGUGCCCACCUGCCCCUCACCAGUUCACCCACUUCUCUCCUCUUUACUCAGUGCUGGCACCUCCUUUUCUGCAGUGCCUGGUCAAGGACAGAAUUAGACAACCCCAGCUUGAUUUGGGUCGGUAGGAACCUUAAAGCUCAUCCCAUUCCACCCCUCUGGAUGGGCAGGGAUGCCUUCCUCCAGCCCAGGUUGCUCCAAGCCUGACCUGGAUGACAAAUCAUGCUGAGAGUGAGGACAAAUCCACCCAGCCUGGUCCCCCACCUCCAUCCUCGCACGACACCGGAGGUUUGCACCCACACAGAGGAGGCGGUCCUGAGGUCCCCCGAGCUGAACCUGAGCGCUCCUCAGCAGAAAAUCUCCCUCCCAAGGAGCAAAGUGAGACCACUGCCAGAGCUGGAGCCACCAGCACAUCACAUUAACCCCAGCUCCAAACUUAAAAGCUGCAAUAGGCUUAGUCAUAGAAUCGAAUGAGCUAAUCAGAGGUGCCCAAACCUCUUUUACCACAAGUAAAACACAGCUGCACCGUC